rnacentral:rRNA from 1 species
UACGUAGGGGGCAAGCGUUGUCCGGAUUCAUUGGGCGUAAAGAGCGUGUAGGCGGCCAGGUAGGUCGGUUGUGAAAACUCGAGGCUCAACCUCGAGACGUCGGCGGAAACCAUCUGGCUAGAGUCCGGAAGAGGAGAGUGGAAUUCCUGGUGUAGCGGUGAAAUGCGCAGAUAUCAGGAAGAACACCGGUGGCGAAGGCGGUUCUCUGGGAAUGACCUGACGCUGAGGAGCGAAAGUGUGGGGAGCGAACAGG